rnacentral:rRNA from 1 species
UGGGGAAUAUUGCACAAUGGGGGAAACCCUGAUGCAGCGACGCCGCGUGAGUGAUGACGGUCUUCGGAUUGUAAAGCUCUGUCUUCAGGGACGAUAAUGACGGUACCUGAGGAGGAAGCCCCGGCUAACUACCUGCCAUCACCCGCGGUAAUACCUAUGUGGCAAGCGUUGUCCGGAUUUACUGGGCGUAAAGGGAGCGUACGUGGAUAUUUAAGUGGGAUGUGAAAUACUCGGGCUUAACCUGGGUGCUGCAUUCCAAACUGGAUAUCUAGAGUGCAGGAGAGGAAAGUACAAUUCCUACUGUACCGGUGAAAUGCGUAGAGAUUACGAAGAAUACCCCUGGCGAAGGCGACUUUCUGGACUGUAACUGACACUGAGGCUCCAAAGCGUGGGGAGCAAACCGGAUUAUAUACCCUGGUAAUCCACGCCAUAAACCAUGAAUACUAAGUGUAAGGGUUGUCAUAACCUCUGUGCUGCCGCUAACUCACUACGUAUUCCUCCCGGGGAGUACGGUCGCAAGAUUAAUGCUCACACGAAUGGACGG